GACGAACGCUGGCGGCGUGCCUAAUACAUGCAAGUAGAACGCUGAAGCGAGGAGCUUGCUCUUCUUGGAUGAGUUGCGAACGGGUGAGUAACGCGUAGGUAACCUGCCUUGUAGCGGGGAUAACUAUUGGAAACGAUAGCUAAUACCGCAUAACAAUGGAUGACACAUGUCAUUUAUUUGAAAGGGGCAAUUGCUCCACUACAAGAUGGACCUGCGUUGUAUUAGCUAGUAGGUGAGGUAACGGCUCACCUAGGCGACGAUACAUAGCCGACCUGAGAGGGUGGUCGGCCACACUGGGACUGAGACACGGCCCAGACUCCUACGGGAGGCAGCAGUAGGGAAUCUUCGGCAAUGGGGGCAACCCUGACCGAGCAACGCCGCGUGAGUGAAGAAGGGUUUCGGAUCGUAAAGCUCGGUUGUAAGUCAAGAACGAGUGUGAGAGUGGAAAGUUCACACUGUGACGGUAGCUUACCAGAAAGGGACGGCUAACUACGUG
rnacentral:rRNA from 1 species